rnacentral:lncRNA from 1 species
UUUGACCGAUCCUUCCACACCACCAACCGAACCAACUCCGGUACAUCGGCAUCCCAACUCCCACAACCGCCUCUUCUUCGACCUUCCAUCGCCAGAAGGUGGGCUGCCUCAUUAACCGCACGAUGCACAAAAGAGUAUGUAAUCUCUGUAAAAAAACUGUUCAUUUGUUUGAUAUGGCAUAUAAUCGGUCUAAUAAUCGAUUUAUCCGCUUCAUUUCUCCUGACGGUUUUGAUGACAGUUAGGGAAUCACCUUCCACAACCAGUCGCUGAAAACGCAUGUUUCUCGAAAAUAUUAAAGCACGUUCACAAGCCCGUGCCUCCGCCACAAAAGGGUCUGAAAUGUUUUCAAACAGAUAAGUCUCUGCC